rnacentral:rRNA from 1 species
UACGUAGGGUGCAAGCGUUAAUCGGAAUUACUGGGCGUAAAGCGUGCGCAGGCGGUUUUGUAAGUCUGUCGUGAAAUCCCCGGGCUCAACCUGGGAAUUGCGAUGGAGACUGCAAGGCUAGAAUCUGGCAGAGGGGGGUGAGAAUUCCGCGUGUAGCAGUGAAAUGCGUAGAUAUGCGGAGGAACACCGAUGGCGAAGGCAGCCCCCUGGGUCAAGAUUGACGCUCAUGCACGAAAGCGUGGGGAGCAAACAGG